GUUCCUUGAAGGGUAUGAGGGACCCGGUGCCUUUGCAUGGUUUGGGGGUGCCUGGAGGAGGUUGUGGGAUUCUCGUUGAUGCCUAGGCUAGAACUGAAGCCAGCAGUUAGGGCCUGUCUUACAAGAUAAAGAGAGCUUGGUGAAGGCAAGGAUCUUAUCCUGUUGCCACUGCAUCUCCAGCUCCUCAGACUCUACCAGGCACAAGCUUGACUUGAUAUAACAGAAUACAUUUCCAUGAAAUGUAUUUGGAAGCUGGAA